rnacentral:lncRNA from 1 species
CAGCUGCAAAUGUCACCAGGGUUACAGUAACUAUGGCAACAACCAGUCAAAAUGCAUCGAAAUGUACUGCGAUCAGUUUGGACCCAACCACAUGCCAGAGAAGUUGAAGCAUUUGAUGUCACUGUUGAAGAACAGCUGUGAGUCUCUGAAUGAUCCACAUGGAGAACAUGUCACUGGAGAGGAGCUGCUGCGGGUCAAACACUUACUGCAUGAUAUAUAUUCACACAGUAGUUUGUGAUCAUGCACUCGCACAGUGGCUGAAUGAACAUCUCUGAUUUAUUCCACAGAACGUGUGCAGUUCCUCUGACGAGCUGCUGUCUGAAGGAAAAAUCGCUGAUGGCGAGACGCUGAAUCAGUUUCUGGACGCGGUGGAGAACAGCAUGCGUCUGAUCGGACCUCAGCUGAAAGAGCCUGUGACCACGAUGGAGACGCACAACACCUGUGAGGAACCACACACAUUUCAGUUUAGACACAGUCACA